rnacentral:rRNA from 1 species
UGCGACAGCCAUAUCACCCUGCAGCCUGAGACUGGUUACUCACUGAAGCUAAGCAGGGCUGAGCCUGGUCAGUACCUGGAUGGGAGACCACAUGGGAAAACUAGGUUGCUGUUGGAA